rnacentral:rRNA from 1 species
UACAGAGACUGCAAGCGUUAUUCGGAUUCACUGGGCGUAAAGGGUGCGCAGGUGGCCAAGUGUGUUAGGCGUGAAAGCCCGGGGCUUAACCCCGGAAUUGCACCUAAAACUACAUGGCUAGAGCAUUGGAGAGGGGAGCAGAAUUCACGGUGUAGCAGUGAAAUGCGUAGAUAUCAUGAGGAAUACCAGAGGCGAAGGCGGCUCCCUGGACAAUUGCUGACACUCAGGCACGAAAGCGUGGGGAGCAAAAGGG